rnacentral:rRNA from 1 species
CCGGCACGGGUGAGUAACACGUAUCCAACCUGCCGUCUACUCUUGGACAGCCUUCUGAAGGGAAAAUUAAUACAAGAUGGCAUCAUGAGUUCACAUGUUCACAUGAUUAAAGGUAUUCCGGUAGACGAUGGGGAUGCGUUCCAUUAGAUAGUAGGCGGGGUAACGGCCCACCUAGUCUUCGAUGGAUAGGGGUUCUGAGAGGAAGGUCCCCCACAUUGGAACUGAGACACGGUCCAA